rnacentral:sRNA from 1 species
GUAUCGAAUUACAAACGAAUGGCGAACGUUAACCAAACAAAGUAACAACAACUAAUCAGAAUAUUGUCAAUGGAUGGGUUCUGUCAAUGCUCAACACUUGAGAACCUCCAAAAAAGGUAAUAAUUAAAAAAUAUUUGGUGUGACAUUAAACAUUAAAUUGGCCAAGACAUAUUUAUGCGGAACACAUUGAAGUAAUUCCGUUUGCCGAAAAUUCGUUGUAUAUGAGCUGCUCAGUAUUGUUUCGAUUACAUUUGGCGAAGAAGUGAAAGUAAAAUUCGCAGCUGAAAAGUUAACAAUAAGAAUAUCCCAACGUCCCUCCUGAACGUCACCGUCACCCCGUUGACCAUCACCACAGCUGAUUAUCGUUUUGUGGAACCACCAGCGAACGCAUUUAUAAUUAGAAUUUAACAAGCCGAGUAAAGUGGGGAAAAUAUACGCUCUUCAGAUAUUACUUAAUUAAGCACACGUUGUAGUGGACCAUAACAUAAGGCAACAGAAACAAAAG